rnacentral:rRNA from 1 species
AUGAACUUUAUGUAUGAACUUGUAUUAAUUUGGUCUAUUCGGUGUUGUGUAAUGAAGAUGAGCCGGCAAUGGAUGUACGAUGACCGAUGCUCUCCCCAGUUCGUUGAGGGCGUGCAUACUUUUCUGCUUGCGGCUGAGGCAAACAAGUGGGCGGAUGGUUUUAUGCCUUGUCCAUGUGCUGGCUGUAAGAAUGGUCGCAAUUACUCUAUGUCAAGAACCAUUCACGUCCACCUGUUUGAGUCCGGUUUCAUGCCCCACUAUAAUGUUUGGACCCAGCACGGAGAAAGAGGGGUUAUGAUGGAAGACAAUGAAGAAGAAGAGGACGACGACAGCUAUCCUGGCCAUGGGUUCCCUGAAUACGAUGAUACAACAAUGGGGGAAGAAGCUGAGCCGGUAAUGCGGGAAGAAGCUGAGCCGGCAAUGCGGGAAGAAGCUGAAGAAGAGGCAUCAGAUGAGCCCGUUGAUGAUCUAGGUCGGGCCAUUGCCGAUGCAAAGAGAAACUGCGCAAGUGAUUUGGAGAAGAAGAAGUUGCAGCACAUGUUAGAGGAUCACAAAAAAUGUUGUACCCGAAUUGCGUAG